rnacentral:tRNA from 10 species
ACACGGCGAGAGACUGAAAGAAAAGCAGCAAAGCCCUGGGUAAUCAAGGCCCUAAACGGAAAGUGUCAGGAUCUUGGGGAUCGUAUUGUAUAAAAUGGAUGAAAACAGAGCUAUUGGGUUUGAAGCACUCCUGAACCCUCUCAUGGAACCCUAUGUCUUCCUGGAGUCUACAGAGCUAUUGGGUUUGAAGCACUCCUGAACCGUCUAGUAGAACCCUAUGUCUUCCUGGAGUCUACAGAGCUAUUGGGUUUGAAGCACUCCUGAACCGUCUAGUAGAACCCUAUGUCUUCCUGGAGUUUACAGAAAAAGAGACUCAGGGAUUUUCCCAAAGCACACUGCAAGUUAGGGGCAGGAAUGACAGCCCAGACCUUCUGGUUUCCAGUCCAGGGCUCAACUGCCUAAACAGUGGCAUCUCUUCAGGCAGGCCCUGUCAGAGGCAGAUUAGGGGACUUGUCCAAAGUUACUCAACUAUGAAGAGUCAAGAUUCAAAUCCAGAGACAUCUGACUUCAUUUCCCUUCAUUAACAACCAUCUAAGGAAGUUCCUAUUACUUUGGGAACUCCUAGUAGCAGGUGGUUAAAAAAAACUCCUGGACAACAUACUAUGCUAUUUGAAUCAUCCUACUUCUUACGCGUUCCUCCAGGAUGCACUCUUCUCCCAUUCUGAAACUGACAGUUCUCUUUACAAACUGUGUAUGUUUCAUUCCUGGAUUGCAUCUGAGCUGCCGCCAUGGAACGGGCAUUGAGUUUUAGCGUGUGUGAUGUCCCAUGUGUUCAUUUUGUCUCCCCACACUAUAAACUUGAGAGGCAAGGCCAACUCUUUUAUGUCUUCAAAUGCUUUGCUGCCAAACACAGGAUUGGAAAUGGCCAACAAAGACUAAAAUGCUACUUCUCUACCCUUUUCACUAUGCCAUCUACUGGAAAUUUAAGCAAGACUUGCAGAGAUCACUUCAGGUUAUCUGUUCCCCUGCAAGAAACACUUGUGGUUUGGCCUGAAAUAGUUUUCUGCUGAUUCUUUCUCUACAGCCCUGAACCCUAAAAACAAAUGAAAUGCAUCAACACAAUACUAAAUGCCUACAUAUUAUUACUAUUAUGUCUUUAAAAAAAGAGUGAAAGCUUUUUCAUGUUUGCUUUAAAUCAACCAUGUAGAAACUGGAGGGACCAGUGAAGAGGAAUAGAGGGAAUGAACUCAAAUGCUCUAACUUGCAAUAGGACAGUUGGGUUCUUACUUUGACUCACCUGACCUUUACAACCAUUAGCCAGCUCACAUGAUGCCCAAACAAGUUGCUGAGCCUCCUGCCCAUCCUCUGUAUAUAUCCCUGGUUUCCUGUCUCAAGCUUUAGGCUAAUCUCCAUCAACACUGACCUCACAUGAAUACUAAAUGCAGAUGUCUGACCUCAUAUUUCUCUGCCAGUCAGAUCCCUGGCCUCUUUACUACAGACCUUAAGGACCAGUUCUCAAACUCAUCUCAUUGGCAUCUUUUCACAUCACGAAAUCUAUCUGGUCAGGAUUUGAAUAAAACUGUAUUUUUACUUUAAUACAAAAGAGUCAACAUGGGCAGUGACUAAAUAAAGGGGGUGGGGACAGAGUUAACACGAGCCACCUAUGCUGUUACAUAUAUAUAUAUCCCGAUUAAUUUCAGUUGGUGAAGAGGAAGACCCUCGGGCACAGAUUUCAACACUGUGCUGGACUCAGACCCAAAAUCCUUUGACUUAUUUUUAUUUUUUGGGAUGAGGUCUCGCUAUGUUGCCCAGGCUGGAGUACAGUGGCUAUUCAUAGGCACUAUCAUAGUGCAGGGUAGCCUUGAACUCCUGGCCUCAUGAUCCUCCCACCUCAGCCUCCCUAGUGGCUGGUAGCUGGGACUACAGACACAACCAGCCCUCUGACUUAUUUUUACUACUCUGCUGUGAAACUCACCCGAUCUUUACUUUGGCCUUCAUUAUUGAGGCUUCCUUAAAGCAGUGGUUCUCAAAGUACCAGGUCCUGAUCAGCAGCAUCAGCAUCAAUUUGUUAAAAAUACAAAUGCUCUAUGGGGCCCUACCUCAGACUUACUGAAUCAAAACUCCUUAGUCAAGACUUAACUGCUGCUCCCAAGUUGUGAUGUUGCCACCAGUAUUAGAACACAGUGGUCUCCAAAAUCUUGCCAAUGAAUCCUCCAAGGUGCGUACCAAGUUCCGGAAUAACUGAAAGAACAUCACAUACACAGGCUGGGUACAGUAGCUCACAUCUGUAAUCCCAGCACUUUGGGAGGCCGAGGUGGGAAGACUGCUUAAGGCCAGGAGUUCAAGACCACCCUGGGCAACAUAGUGAGACCUUGUCUCUACCCUCCUCCCCAACCCCCCCCAAAAAAGCACCACCUGUCAAGGAGAAUGGCAUGGCGACAUGGCUGAAACACAGAGCCUUAUCUAAAGACCCACAGGGCUAGAAUGGAGAAAGAACUCUCAGAACAAAUUUCAGAUAGGUAAAAAACCUGGUAAUGUCAGUAGAAAAUGAGAAACAAAUAGUCUGGCUUCCUUCAAGGACUAAAGGACCUGAGUUACUCCCAUACAAUGGUGGAGAGUAGAGCCCACAAGAUUACUGAAUAGCAGAGAUCUUUGCAAUGAAUGCCAGCUUCCAGUACACACUUCCACAGGAAAGUGAAGGUUAAUCUAGCUUAAUUCAGUGCUUUAACUCCUCUAUACCUCUGACAGGAGAAAGAAAACCAGGCUACACUGGAAGUUAAAUCUCAGUUGGACUUAAACUUUUUCUAGUUUUCUUUUUUUUUGGAGACGGAGUUUCACUCUUGUUGCCAGGGCUGGAGUGCAAUGGCACAAUCUCGGCUCACUGCAACCUCCGCCCCCCGGGUUCAAGCAAUUCUCCUGUCUCAGCCUCCCAAGUAGCUGUGAUUACAGGCACCUGCCACCACACUGGCUAAUUUUUUAUUUUUUUUUAUAGAGACGGGGGUUUCACCAUGUUCGCCAGGCUGACCUCAGGUGAUCUGCCCGCCUCGGCCUCCCAAAGUGCUGGGAUUAUAAGCGUGAGCCACCGCACCCGGGACUUUUUCUAGUUUUCAACAUUGUUAUCUAUACAUCCUCAAGUGUAAGCUGUCACAGGAAGAAAAAUGUGUCUUUUUUUUUUUUUUUUUUUUUUUUGAGACAGUCUUGCCCUGUCACCCAGGCUGGAGUGCAGUGGCGUGAUCUCGGCUCACUACAACCUCCACCUCCCGGGUUCAAGCAAUUCUCCUGCCUCAGCUUCCUGAGUAGCUGGGACUACAGGCACCUGCCACCAUGCCUGGCUAAUUUUUGUAUUUUUAGUAGAGACAGGGUUUCACCAUAUUGGCCAGACUGGUCUUGAUCUCCUGACUUUCUGAUCUGCCCACUUCGGCCUCCCAAAGUGCUGGGAUUACAGGUGUGAGCCACCGCGCCCGGCCAAUUAUUUCUUUCUUUCUUUCUUUUUCUUUUUUUUUUUUUUUUUUUGAGACGGAGUCUUGCCCUGUCACCCAGGCUGGAGUGCAGUGGUGCGAUCUUGGCUCACGGCAAGCUCCACCUCCCAGGUUCACGCCACUCUCCUGCCUCAGUCUCCUGAGUAGCUGGGACGACAGAUGCAUGCCACUACGCCUGGCUAAUUUUUGUAUUUUUAGUAGAGGCGGAGUUUCACCAUGUUGGCCAGCUGGUCUCGAACUCCUGACCUCAGGUAUCUGCCUGCCUCGGCCUCCCAAACUGUUGGGAUUACAGACAUGAGCCACCGUGCCUGGCAAAAUGUGUAGUUCUUUUACAUGGGCAAGUUUCUACUAUUAAAAAAAAAAUAACCAUGACAGGGCAUCCUAAGUAGCCUAGUUAGCAGUGGCAGCUACUGCCCUCAGUAGCACGUCAUAAGCAAGAGCAAAGUAAACAUCCAAAUAAAAUGAAUUAAGCCAGCUUGCCACAGCCUAGCAUUGCAAGUCUACAGUAUGCAAUUUCACAUGUCAAAUCAGCAAGAAAAUUCCUAAAGUCUUUAGCUAAAAUUACAGUAAUUAAACAACUCUUUUGAUAAGCACUUGAGUAAGAACCCCAGAUAUUCCUGAAGAAACUGUGUUACAGCUCAAAAGAAUUUAGGAGCCUAGUGUAGUAAGGCCCGUUGUAUUGCCUGACUUUUACUCAGGGCUCAACCCAGUUUCAAGCCUACUUAAUAAUUCGUAUCCCAAGAAAGCCCUUAUUAGCCUCUUUGCUAGCUGAAUAAAUUCUAACUCCACCAUGGCUUCUGUGGAGGCCCAGGCUAUGAUAUGUUGCAGAAAUAGUGUCUGAGGACAAAGAACAGAUAAGAAAGUUAAACUCUGCAUAACCCAUUCAGUAAUGUGUAAUGAAAAUAUCACUCUCAAAAGUGGAAGUCUCCCCUUUCUUCUGAAGGGCAUUAAGGGAUACUCAUGGCUCAGCAAAUUCUGAAGUAGAAAUUGUCACAGUGCUGUAGGUGGAAGAGACUCAACAAUGCCAUCAUGAAAAAAACUUCUGGAAUUAUUCACAACAGUAAAAUUAUGACCAACUUACAGUCCUAGGAGAUGGAUUGCAGAAAUCUUUAAGACCAUCCAUAAGAAAUGGCUUUCAAACUUAUUUGAAAUCAAUUUGACAUCACAACCCACUUUUCAUACAUGUAUAAACUGAAAUUGGUUUCACAAAGUAUUAUUUCCCUUAUAACAUGCUACAUAUUUUCCCUUCUAUUAAAAAAGUUGGCUGUCACCCAUGAAGUUUGUUACCAGUUGGUCAUGACUAGAGGUUAAAAAGCACUGAUCAAUUGCUGUAAUCUUAAAAAAAAAAAAAAAAAGGCAACAUAACACAGUUGCUAAGAGUACUAACUUUGAAGUAGGACUGCCCAGGUUCAAAUCCUGACACCGCUACUUGGCUAUGAAGCCCAAGUCCUAGGUCAUGUCACUAACUUCGGUGCUUCAGUUUCCCCCUCCAGAAAUCAAGAGAAACCUUCUAAUAAAACUUUGUUAUCAAACUGAGUUUUAUUUGUGAGGAUGCCUAAAAAACAUGCCUAUUAAGAAGUGAAGAUGCUGGCCCCAAGAUUCCGUGUAGCUUGCCAGUGAGUGGGAAGAUUGGCCCGGGACCCUGGCUGAUGGCCUUUCCACUAUAUUGCAGCAUUGAGCAUGCAAAUAACAUUGAUUAUAUAAGGGCCUUUGGUGUAAAGCAUGUAAAAUAAAUGUGACAAGCAAUGCUGGAUGAUAAAUGCUUAUUUCCUUACUUUCAGAAAGUAACUAGAGGGCUCAUGCCUUAAAAAAAAAAAAAACUUACCAGAUAAAUAUGAACUAAAGCCUUCAUUUUCUGAGUGGCAAGGAAAAAAAACAAUUUUCAUUAAGAAUUCUUUUUAAUUUAGCCAGUAGAGAUUGAGAUUUGGAGUUAUUUGCCUCUGAUUCUUGUCUAGUUUCAGGCCAAACACUAGCUAGUUGCUAGGACCUUGGCCAAGUCUGCAGUCUCUUUGGGCUCAUUUCUAUAAUCGUAAGAUGAGAGUUAGGCCCAGGAUGUUGUAACACUGCCCCUUUUGAGGUUUUCCCCAAAGGGCAAAACUGACAGACUAAGGGGAAAGUCAAAGAAAAGAAAAACAAAAAUCAUCUCCAAAGAUGCUAGAAAAAAAAAAAGAAUAGCGUUAUUUACUUGCCAUAGUAAGGAUGGUGAAGUACUCACAGCAGGCAAUAGUGGCACAGAAAUUAACUUGGUAUGGCGUCUUGAGUUCAACCUCUAGUUGGCUACCUAAUAGACACGUACAUAAAUGUUUUUGUUUUAGGACAGGGUCUCACUCUAUCACUGGGGCUGGACUGCAGUGGUGCAAUCACAGCUUAUCACAGCCUUGACCUCCCGGGCUCAGGUGAUCCUCCCACCUCAGUCUGGCAAGCAGCUGGGACUACAGGCGUGCAUCACCAUGCCUGGCUAGUAUUUUUGUAGAGGCAGGGUUUUGCCAUGUUGUCCACUGGUCUCAAACUCCCGGGCUCAAAAGAUCCACCUGCCUUGGCGUCCCAAAGUACUGGGAUUAUAGGCGUGAGCCAUGGCACAAGGCUCACAUACAUAACUUUGAGCUAAUAAUUUCAUUUCUUUUUUUUUGAGACGGAGUCUCGCUUUGUCGCCCAGGCUGCAGUACAGUGGUGUGAUCUCAGCUCACUGCAAGCUCCACCUGCCGGGUUCACGCCAUUCUCCUGCCUCAGCGUCCCGAGUAGCUGAGACUACAGGAGCCUGCCACCAUGCCCGGCUAAUUUUUUUUGUAUUUUUAGUAGAGACGGGGAUUCACCGUGUUAGCCAGGAUGGUCUCGAUCUCCUGACCUCAUGAUCCGCCCGCCUCGGCCUCCCAAAGUGCUGGGAUUACAGGCGUGAGCCACCACACCCAGCCAUAAUUUCAUUUUUUUCUGAUCAGAUGUUCUGUCACUUAAGGGCACUUGAGAUGAUUAAAUAUGAAUGUGCAUAGUACAUGACCAGGUAUCCAAAAAGACUUCAAUAAACCUUGGUUCCUUCUAACUAAAAGGGCUGUAUAAACAUGCUAAGGUGUUAUAAUUUUAGGGGCAGUUUCCAGCAUUUCCUCCCGGGUAUUAUUACUUGCCACCUCCAAAGCAUUAGCUCUGAAGGCAUAACCUUUUCUUUUUUUUUCUUCUGAAAGAGACAGGGUCUCUUUGCAUUGCUCAAGCUGGAGUGCAGUAGCUAUUCACAGGCAUGAUCAUCAAGCACCACAGCCCCAAACUCCUGGGCUCAAGUGAUCUUCCUACCUCAGCAUAGCUGGGACAACAGGGUCAUGCCACUGCACCUAGCUGGCAUAGAAAUUUUUUUUUUUUGAGACACUGUCUCAUUCUGUUGCUCAGGCUGGAGUGCAGUGGCACACUGCAGCCUCAAUCUUUCGGGCUUAAGCAAUCUUCCCACCUCAGCCCCCUGAAUAGCGAGGACCACAGGCGUGCACCACUAUGCCCCGCUAAUUUUUGUAUUUUUUGUAGAGAUGGGUUUUGCCAUGUUGCCCGGCUGGUCUCAAACUCCUAGGCUCAAGCAGUCCACCCACCUCGGUCUCCUGAAGUGCUGGGAUUACAGGCACGAGCCACAGUGCUUGGCCAGCAUAGCCACUUUAAAAUGAAGUGUGGGUUAAGGAGUAAACUGGCAAGUUUGCCCCAAAUUCGAUUUCAUGAUGAUCUUGACAUCUACACAGUGGUGUCACUUAACAGGAGUAUGUUCUGAAAAACGCCUCGUUAGGCGACUUCAUCGUUGUGCAAAUAUCACAGGAUGUACUUACACAAGUACAUGGCAGAGCCUACUACACACCUAGGCUAUGUAGUAAAGCCUAUAUUCCUAGGCUACAAACACGUACAGCACGUUACCGUACUAACUACUGUAGGCAAUUUCAACAACACUAAAUAUUUGCUGAACACAAAAGAUACAGUAAAAAUCACUGCUGUAUAUGCAGUUCUUGCUACACGUAAACUGUUUAGCUAAAUAACAUUAAUUCCAGAGAAGGCAAAGCUUACCAAAUACAAAUUCUACAUGGGAGAGUGAUAGAGAUAUAAGGCAGAAUAAAACAUGCAAAAUUGCAGUCAGGCGCGGUGGCUCACACCUGUAAUCUCAGCACUUUGGGGGGCCAAGGUGGGCAGAUCACCUGAGGUCACAAGUUCAAGACCAGCCUGGCCAACAUGGCGAAACCCCAUCUCUACUAAAACUACAAAAAUUAGCCAUGCGCGGUGGAGGGCACCUGUAAUCCCAGCUACUCAGGAGGCUGAGGGAGGAGAAUCGUUUGAACCCGUGAGGUAGAGGCUGCAGUGAGCUGAGUUUGUGCCAUUGC